rnacentral:rRNA from 1 species
AGAGUUUGAUUAUGGCUCAGGAUAAACGCUGGCGGCAUGCCUAACACAUGCAAGUCGAACGGGGUUUAUAUGAUGGAACUCUUCGGAGGGAAGACAUGUAAACCUAGUGGCGGACGGGUGAGUAACGCGUGGGGAACCUGCCCUGUACCGGGGGACAACAGCCAGAAAUGGCUGCUAAUACCGCAUAAUCCUGCGCUGCCGCAUGGCAGCGCAGGGAAAACUCCGGUGGUACAGGAUGGUCCCGCGUCUGAUUAGCUUGUUGGCGGGGUAACGGCCCACCAAGGCGACGAUCAGUAGCCGGCUUGAGAGAGCGGACGGCCACAUUGGGACUGAGACACGGCCCAGACUCCUGCGGGAGGCAGCAGUGGGGAAUAUUGCACAAUGGGGGGAACCCUGAUGCAGCAAUGCCGCGUGGGUGAAGAAGUACCCCGGUAUGUAAAGCCCUGUCAGCAGGGAAGAAAAUGACGGUACCUGACUAAGAAGCCCCGGCUAACUA